UGAAAAGGUCCUAAAUACCCCAAAGGAACCAGAUCCCAUCUGAUCUCAGAAGCUAAGCAUGAUUAUUUCUGGUUAGUACUUGAAUGAGAGGCCACCAGCCAAUCCUUGAUGCUGUAUGAG
rnacentral:rRNA from 1 species